CCAAAAACAAAAACUCCCGACUGCGACAUUGACGCAAUGGCACCGCAGAAAAGACCGAACGACGGAACGAAUAAGAUUAUGCUCAAAAUGCCUGAGACUCAUCUCUCCAGACAACGCCUCAAAUUGAAGCCCAGGGACAGUAUUGUGCAGUGAAUCUUUUGCAGAUGUGAAAUUGGCUGAAGAAAGAAUAUGGGAAGUACCAUUUCACAGAAAUGAUCUCAGCAGCACCAGCAAAGAGGAGUGAACUGAGCUUCCAACUUCAGUGUAAAAUGAAUCCACCUGAAGACAAUAUAAUUAUUUGAUCUGUAAACCGUGCAGUAUAAACAUUGCAAAUUUCAUUCAUCUGCCAGGAUUGAUUUUGUCUUGUGUUGAUCACAUAAACAUAUCAAAGUAAAAAUUGUGACCAGUAAAAAAGGCAUUGGUUGAUCCAUGGUGGUGUGGCCCAUCCUGCACUCCUCCUGUUUCUCUCACAAUGGAUAGAGCCCGAAAGCAGCCCAGUACUAUGGAACUCACCAGUGCUUUAUACUGGUAUAUCGUUCAGGUUACUAUUGAUGUUUCAUGCAAAACUUUUAACUGAGUAAGACAAAAAGGUUUUGGAGGAAAAUAGGCUAAUGAACUUUCAAUUACAAAGAACAAACAGCCCAGGAACACAUAACAGACAGAAGAAAAAGUAAGAUACUACUUUAAUGCAGAAAUUCCUGCAUGAGGUUGAAGACUUCUGAAUCCAAAAAGCAUGAAAAGAUGUCAACCACAAGAUCAGGAGUUCUUCCUUCAAUCCCACUCAUCAUACACUUUGAACAAGCAAACAGCUGGAAAUUAUUGUAGAAGGUGCAAGUUUAUCCAUUUCCCCUGUCUUUCCCUCAUGUUCAUUCCCAGAAUUGGGGGAAAAAAUGACUGUGAGACAUUGAUACAACAGUACACAACGAUAAAAGAGCCUGAAAAUCCGAUAGGCUUUAUUCAGAAUGGCAACCAGAGCCUCAAUCAAUGAUGUACCAAAAAUAUUGUACAUGUUAUUUUCUAUGUGACUUUACACCAUUUUGUAGAAGAGGUUUUGAACCAAAUUGGUGCAAUUUCCCAACUAUUAUCUAAAUUUAAUGCACUCUGUGGGUUGAGAUUAUUUACUUAUGCAGUAAAUAAUACAUGUACAGAUACUAAAACAGCAGUACUAAAUCAGGAGACAAGUUGAGGAAAUAAAAAACAAAUUAUAAAAUGCACUGAACAAACUGUUUUGGCAAAUAAUGUGCUGACGUAAUUGAUGCAAACCAUUUACGGAGAGUUUUAAUUUGGUCUAGAAGAUUGUUGUUGGGGAUCUAAAGAGACAGAAGCUUUAAACCUUUACCACGACAUGUUUUUUUCCUCACUCUGUUCAUAGCAACAACUGGAGAUGGUGUUUCAGUUUUGCCUGAUCAUGAAUUAUGCUAAUCCAAAAAUAGUUUUGUAAAUAAACACUCUA